UCCNGCCAUACACUCUUCCUACCUACAUGU
rnacentral:piRNA from 1 species